AGAGUGAACGCUGGCGGUAGGCCUAACACAUGCAAGUCGAACGGCAGCACAGUGGUAGCAAUACCAUGGGUGGCGAGUGGCGGUCGGGUGAGGAAUACAUCGGAAUCUACCUUUUCGUGGGGGAUAACGUAGGGAAACUUACGCUAAUACCGCAUACGCCCUUUGGGGGAAAGCCGGGGAUCGCAAGACCUGGCGCGGAUAGAUGAGCCGAUGUCGGAUUAGCUAGUUGGUGAGGUAAUGGCUCACCAAGGCGACGAUCCGUAGCUGGUCUGAGAGGAUGAUCAGCCACACUGGAACUGAGACACGGUCCAGACUCCUACGGGAGGCAGCAGUGGGGAAUAUUGGACAAUGGGCGAAAGCCUGAUCCAGCCAUGCCGCGUGUGUGAAGAAGGUCUUCGGAUUGUAAAGCUACGUUUAAGUUGGGAAGGUAAGGUUGUAAACUUAAGUACGUUGACUAACUUUGACGUUACCGACAGGAUAAGCAACCGGCUAACUUCG
rnacentral:rRNA from 1 species